rnacentral:tRNA from 1 species
GGAUUUGUGGCUCAGUGGUACAGCACUUGCCUUGAAUGUAUGAGGCACUGGGUUCGAUUUUCAGCACCA